GGUUAAAAAUUUUAUCUAUUUAUAUUGUUAGAAAGUGGUGCGGCUAACAAAAUAAUUCGACAAUGACACAUGCCAUUUCACAUGUACCUUAUGCUAAUAUAUAGAGAUCAACUUUUAACAACAAAAAUGGAUAAAAUUUUUAACA
rfam:Gossypium hirsutum cultivar TM-1 unplaced genomic scaffold scaffold3386.1, whole genome shotgun sequence